GAAGGGGGCUAGCGUUGCUCGGAAUUACUGGGCGUAAAGGGAGCGUAGGCGGACUGUUUAGUCAGAGGUGAAAGCCCAGGGCUCAACCUUGGAAUUGCCUUUGAUACUGGCAGUCUUGAGUACGGAAGAGGUAUGUGGAACUCCGAGUGUAGAGGUGAAAUUCGUAGAUAUUCGGAAGAACACCAGUGGCGAAGGCGACAUACUGGUCCGUUACUGACGCUGAGGCUCGAAAGCGUGGGGAGCAAAC
rnacentral:rRNA from 1 species